CCAUGGGGACCCUCCUCUCCGUGAGAGGAUACAAUGUGAAGUCAGCAGGCUUCAACCCAGGAGAGGGUUUACACCAGAACCUGACCGUGCUAGCACCCUGAUUUUGGGCUUCCAGGCUCCAGAACUACGAGAAAUAAGUUUCUGUUGUUUUUAAUGUUGAAAGUUUAGCUAAACUGCUCCAUAUUGUUGCCUCAGCAUCCAUUUUGUGUGGUUACGUAGCCUCCAGGGGCCUUGAACUGCGUAGCCCCUCCCUAGAGCGCAUGCCUUAAAGAACAGCCUGCAGAGUCACAGCGACCAAUCCAGCCUUAGCCUGGGAACCCCAAAACAUUCUACCCUUGGACUCUAAUAAAAGCGUAUGUCCCAGAUCCUGCUGCUCAUACUCUGCCUGCACCCUGCCUUGACCUCCCUGUGUGGCUCCUCGAGAUACCUCCUCCAGGACCUGAACCACAUCUAACCACACCCCUUCAAAUCAUCUACCUGCAAAGAAGGAGGGGAAACCCAGAUGUCAGCAGAACAGAGGAGCGGAAGGAUAUUGGAAGAGCAGCAGUUAUAGCAUCUCAAAGAGCGAGUGUUAUGGACAAGAGCCCCGGCGAAGGCCACUGUGCCGUGUGACACCUCCGAUGCCUCAUUUAGAGGGAUUUCAAAAGGAUUAAAUAAUUGUGAUUUUGGUCCUCUUGGUUUCUCUGAUGCUGCUGGGGCUCCCAUUUGCCUGAAGGGGCAUUCCUGUGAGUCAGCAUCCUCUCUAAUCAACAUGUUGCAGAAAAGUGUUUACACACAACAUCCAGAGAAGAGGUGGGAUGCCUACCACAGCAUGGCAUGCCUAGCGGUGCCAUGUCCGCAGCCGGGAUCUGAA